rnacentral:rRNA from 1 species
AUUGAACGCUGGCGGCAGGCCUAACACAUGCAAGUCGAACGGUAACAGGAAGAAGCUUGCUUCUUUGCUGACGAGUGGCGGACGGGUGAGUAAUGUCUGGGAAACUGCCUGAUGGAGGGGGAUAACUACUGGAAACGGCAGCUAAUACCGCAUAACGUCGCAAGACCAAAGAGGGGGACCUUCGGGCCUCUUGCCAUCGGAUGUGCCCAGAUGGGAUUAGCUAGUAGGUGGGGUAACGGCUCACCUAGGCGACGAUCCCUAGCUGGUCUGAGAGGAUGACCAGCCACACUGGAACUGAGACACGGUCCAGACUCCUACGGGAGGCAGCAGUGGGGAAUAUUGCACAAAGGGCGCAAGCCUGAUGCAGCCAUGCCGCGUGUAUGAAGAAGGCCUUCGGGUUGUAAAGUACUUUCAGCGGGGAGGAAGGGAGUAAAGUUAAUACCUUUGCUCAUUGACGUUACCCGCAGAAGAAGCACCGGCUAACUCCGUG